rnacentral:snRNA from 1 species
AUUGCUUCUUGGCCUUUUGGCUAUGAUGAAGUAGAGUACCUGUUCUUUUCAGUUUAAUAUCUGAUACGUCUUCUAUCCCAGGACAAUAUAUUACGCGCAUUUUUGAGAUAUACUAUUUAGCUUCAUUUAUGCUGCUAGUGUAUCUGAU